rnacentral:lncRNA from 1 species
UUUUUUUAUUUUUAUAUCUUUCUUUGUCUUAUUUUUUCCUAUUCUUUUCUAUUUUUUUUAUCUUUAUUUUUUUCUCUUUCAUCCAUUAUUGUACUUUAUUUCUCUUUUUUUUUUCUCUUUUUUUUCUUUAUCUUUCUGUUUCCUAUUCUUUCUUAGUUUUUUUAUUUUUUUCUCUCUCAUGUAUUUUUAUGCUCUUUCAUUUUUUUUUCUCACUCUCUA